rnacentral:rRNA from 1 species
UACGGAGGGAGCUAGCGUUGUUCGGAAUUACUGGGCGUAAAGCGCACGUAGGCGGCUUUGUAAGUUAGAGGUGAAAGCCUAGAGCUCAACUCCAGAAUUGCCUUUAAGACUGCAUCGCUUGAAGCCAGGAGAGGUGAGUGGAAUUCCGGGUGGAGAGGUGAAAUUCGUAGAUAUUCGGAAGAACACCAGUGGCGAAGGCGGCUCACUGGACUGGUAUUGACGCUGAGGUGCGAAAGCGUGGGGAGCAAACAGG